UAAAGCAAAAGCAACACCUGUGAAGCGAAAUGAAAUGAAGCACCAUAAAAUGAGGUAACGCCUGCAAAUACUGCUUGAUGGCUGCAGGAGUUUAGAACACUUCAACUUGGACUCGAGAUGGGAGCCUACAGUGUGCAAGUUGCUCCAACGAGACGCCUUAGCUUCUUGGACUUCCCUUUGCAGUGUGACAGUCCUAGCUGAGCAGUUACUUCCCCUGAGGGACUGAUAAGCCUUUGACCAAGCCAAGCUUUCAGAUUAAGAUGAGCCUUUAGAAAUUCAGUAUUUCAAACGUACGCAGUGAGUUGCCAAAACUGGUAACACCCUGGUGCAGACGCCUUCCCUGAAGGAUCCCACACCGAAUGCAGAAAACAUCCUCUUUGGAGCCCGUGGGACCGGGUGCAGGUGAGUGAGCGGCACAGUGAAACUAAAAGGACGGCAGGACAGCGUCCCUGUCCUCGGCUUCAGCAUCUCAGAAAUACACUCCCGAGUGCAAACCUAAAUCGAAUGUGCUUCCUCGCUUCCCUCGUGUGGAGCAGAAAAGCUCAAAAGCUAAGGGUUUCCUUCGACAGGUCCUGCUCUGACUGGCGACGCGGGUGAUAAUAACUGGGACUAUUUUGGGAAUAACUUCCUCAUUAUCUCAGUUAAACCUUCCAGCAAAACUGUGCCUAUGGCACUCAAUAACUACUUUUUCAUUUUUAAAAAACCUCU